rnacentral:lncRNA from 1 species
AGCGGUGUAAUGAUGUGUAAAAAAAAAUAACCCGUAUAAAUAUAUAAAUAUAUAUAAAUAUAAAUAUAUAUAUAAAUAUAUAAAUAUAUAUACAUAAAAAGCACUGUCGCGUUGUACCAUACACCGACAAAACCUUCGCGCCCUGUCGGCUCUUCUCUUCCGUUCAUUUUCGGAAGGCGAGAGACGGAACGAAUUAAAGAGAAACGACCGUGGAGUAUGGACACGGACAGGUUCCAAACGAUUUCAUACCACACAGGGCCUUGAACAUUGUCUGACGAGAAAGUGAUUUUUCCUUAGUGAAUUAAAAAUUUUUUCCAGACAAUUUGUUGAUUACGUUUGGAACUUGGACUUGAACGAUAACCCAUAUCAGCCCACCUUUUGGAUGUAGUAUCGCACUAUUAUCAAUGAAUUAUUAUUAAUUAUUAUUAAUUAUUAAUUAUUAAUUAUUACUAUUAACUCUUCUUUAUUACUGUAUUAUUAUAAAAAUUAUAAAUUCAUUUUAAAGUGAGAAAAAGGAAAUAAAUAAUGCUUUUGUGAAUAAUGAAGACUCUAUUCGACUUUCACUCCAUUCACGAAGCUCGUUCCCGCCGCCCAAUUGCCGACUUCCUACUGUAAUCUAAUGAAAAAGACAGUCCACCGCUAGUCUCUAUUAACCUCCUGGCUCGACCUUCGCUCUUGCUGCCGCUGAUUAUUAAGGUGCAACCUGUGCGCGCGAGUCAGCCUGGAUUAAUUUCCCCGCCUGCUAAAACGUGAUACGCCACGGGCACGAGUUGAAAAUCUAAAUAUUCGUGACGAAGAGUCACGUAGGCAAUAUCCCCCGCAACAAUACCCACGGCGGGCCGACAGAGAACAGCACUGAGCUGGGGAACACGACGGAGAGCACGAGCGGGACACGAGGCUCCUGGGACGAUAUUAUCGCACGGGCCGUUAAAUCCCAGAUCCUACCGACCGUGAAAUGUCCCGUCAUAACAUCAGGCCGCCCCCACUUUGUCGUCGUGCCACUUUAUUUUCCCGCUCCGGGAUUUUAUAUUCCGACCUUCGCUCUCUCCGUUCGGAAGAGAUUCGCCGGAGAUUAUGCGGCGGGGUUCGGCGUCGGCGUCGGGCAUCGUUCUGCCGUCGCCCCGCGAGCGCGGAACGGAAAUGCGCCCGAUACGUGCUUCAGCUCCUCGAUCUUAUUAGCGAGAAUGACUCGGCUCGCCUCUCUCUCGGGGCCUAAACAGUGGAGUAGCCGCGUCACGCGAUCAUUAAGCUUCUAUAAGGUUUUGAUUCUCCCGAGCAUUCCGGCCGGUCAUAAUUGAUUACAGCAUGCGCAAUAUUCUUCAAACAAUGACGGCAGGAGCAAUCAUUCCGUAUUACGAGACAAUUGCAUGUUUUUUAAACACAGAUACGUUUUGCCGUUAAUAAAUUAAUGAAGCAAUUACAGAAAAAUGAUUUCUCGCUCCCAGACGCGACUAGAUUAAAGUCAGUGCGAAAUCGCUUGACGUAAUUCUCGUACCUCUCGGUGAACGCGGGGCGCGACGUAUACGCGACGGGGGAUUCGGGACAUGCCCCGGCGGAGACACCGCGAUAAACAAUUUUCAAGCGCGCGGCGCCGUAAACUGGAUCAAUAUGGCAGAGAUUACGAAAUAAGAUCGUUAUGCAAAGCAGUCGGAGAGGGUCGCGCCGGGGUUGCGCCGCAGAGCAAUUCGCGGGGGGUGCGGUUAACGUCUAGCGGCAAGCUCGGGAGGGGGGGAUGGCUUUUUCGGUGAUUUAACCGAGGAGGGUGAACGUUUGUUAUUCAAUUUGCAACCCCCUCGGUACCAGCCACUGCUCACCCUCUACCCACAGAUCAUCGCGCCUUUACGACCCACGGCCUUCUACGGCUUCCUAAUGCAGGAAGCGUUUUCUUCCUCGCUCGAGAUACAGCGAUUGGUGGGUAUUCUGUGCUCCGUUUCGACUCUUCCGCACUUACGUAACAGCUUUAUCCUAUAUAUUUCAUUAUUUGCUUCACGGAAGCUGACAAUGAUCAUACUUCCAUCUGCUGCAGCAUGCUGAAUCUCUGUGUGCUGAGUUACUCAGAGUUACUUACAGUUAUAAUCUUGCAGAUAUAAGUCAUCAUCUAUUAAAAUACGCAUUGUCGCUGUGAACUUUGUAAAUAAAUGAAAAAAGUUUGAAAACAGUUAAUUUUUGUUUCGUAUCAUUAUCUUAAUCCUUUAUUUCCCCUGAAACAUUACAUCCACUGCAUUUCUAAACUAAAUAUGUCAGUGCGUCAGUAUUUAAAUAAUAUUAAAAGAUAAGAAUACAUAAUCAAUAAAAUAAUAAACAUCUUAAAAUAUUUAAUAGGUUUUUUUUAGGUUUUUUAGGAAAAAAAGAAAGUAACAAUUAUUCAAGAAUAACACGAGUGUUUGUUAAUAAUUUUUCCAUGAAUGAUCAUAUAAAUUACAAUUAUAAUUUGAGAUAAAUAGAUAAUAUAUUUCUCUAUUUACACCGCCAUUACACCGACCAAUGUUUCAUACUUUCGACUUUAUUUAUCAAAUUUUAUUUAUUCGACAUUGUUCAUAUUUCCGUUGACACGUUAAGCUGUGAUGUUUUAUGAUUUAACGAUAUCGAUACACUAAAUUAUUUAUUUAUUUGUAACAUCAUAAUUAAUCUACACGUUUGUGUUUGUAUACACUGCUGAAAAAGACUAAGUAAGUCGAAACGUUCAGUUCGUUUAUCAAUUUUCUCAUAAAUAAAUAAGAAACUUUUUUAAUUUUUAUAUAAUAGUAUACCCUAGUAGCUCGUUAUUGGUCUUAAUUCAUCUUAAUUGUUAUUAAUUCAUACGAGCCUACUUUCUUUGAAUAGGAAAUAAUAUUCAAUGAAUUCCGAGAUAAUCAGUGGCAUAUAGUUUUAUCAUUACGCAAUUUGAGCUCGAAUUUAUGUAUGCUGCAUACGCGUACCAAUAAAUUACAGGGAAGGAUUUCUUUCGGGUGAUACACACGUCUGUCCGGCAGCUUGCGAGUGAAUAAUUAGGCGCGUGCGAGUGUCACGUCCGCGAGACCGUUCUCAAGGCUCGGGGGGUCAUUAGAUCCGUCUGUUCUUUCGAACGUGUUGCGAUAAUAAAGGUCGCGCACCGUCACCAGACAAAGACACCGCUGUGCGAUUAAUUUCACGGCGGUGCGCCCCAUCGCGAUACAAUUGAAACGAAUGGAGCGGCGGGAGCGUUUUAUGAAGCCGGCAGAACGACACUUUGCCCGCAAACACCCGCGUGGAUCGCGUUCAUCACGAUCUAUAUAAAUGGACUACGAAUGGCAGAGGUAUGUAGCGUACAACUGCGGGGAGACAUGAAAAUGAAUACGUUGCAUGUAUUUUGCCGAUAUAAAAAUUAAAAAUUUAAUUAACGUAAAAAAAAUAACAAUUAUAGAUAUGAAAAAAGACAGGUAAGUGGAGCAAUUUUUUGUUUUAUCAUAUAUUUAAAAGCUCGGUAAUAAAUGUCUCUAGGCAAUCGGGUUCUCCGAUUGUGAACAAACUAGCGAAUGACGAAGAGCCAAAGUACUAAGUGGAGAGAUGACGGAAAACUGGAUAGCACUUUGAAAUUUCACACCACGACGUCGGCGAGGUUUAGUGAAAAAAAAAAAAA